AGUGAACGCUGGCGGAGUGCCUAAUACAUGCAAGUCGAAGGAAGUGGCGCACGGGCGAGUAAUCUAUAGCUACUCUGCCCCUUGCUGGAGGCCCACAGUUAGCAGUGACUGCUAAUACUCCAUAGCAAGGGAUGAGACUAUACCGUAUCAGCUAGUCGGUGGGGUAACGGCCUACCGAGUCUAUGACGCGUAACUGGUCUGAGAGGAUGAUCAGUAACAUUGGAACUGAGACACGGGCCAAACUCCUAGUGGAGGCAGCAGUAGUGAAUAGUGCGCAAUGGGGGAAACCGUGACGCAGCAACGCCGCGUGGAGGAUGACACUCUUCGGAGCGUAAAUUCCUGUUGUUAGGGAAGCGUUACCUAACGAAUAAGCACCGGCUAACUCCGUGCCAGCAGCCGCGGUAAUUC
rnacentral:rRNA from 1 species